AGCUCCUCUGCUCUGCGCUGAGCACACCGAGAGGCUUCAGCUGCUCCUCGCACACCUUGCCCUACAGACUCUUCACCAUCUCUGUCGCCCUUCCAUCAUGAGCACUUUUCCCAGCAAAAAGCUAUCAUUGGCUGUGAUAGCCCCUUGUUUGCUUCUUCUGCUUCAGGACGCAUGCUGGGUGGGAGCCUGGAUGUGAGCUGCAGGGAAACAGCUCCCUUUUGCUGUUUUGAAGAAGUGUAUAAGCCACUUUGAAGUCUCUGGAGAGCUUGGCUGAUCUGGCUCAAAGUUGGCUUUUACCGUCUGUGCCUCCCCCUCUUCUUCUCCUGUGCCCAGGGCACCAGCCUGCCAGCCACCCCCUGCUGCUCAAGCCAUGCGACCCACAGCUCUGUGUCUUUAGCACUCCAGCACUACUUUUCAUCCCCCUUCACCUCACCCUCACACCUCCCUGUUCAGCCUGGGCUCCCUAAGGCUCCUCUUCAUUUUCUGUGGAUGAAUGUUCUCACUUCAUUCCUCGUUCGUGGAGCUGUGCACAACAGCAUGUGCCUGGCACGGUUUUGGCAGGGGCUGCACACUGAGUAAAGAGCUGCAGCCAUUGUUCCACAGCUGCUGGAGCACGGCUGUGCCCUGAAAGCAGAAGGCUUGAGGAAAGCAACUCCAAUCAAUAAAUCAACCACCAGGUAUGCCCGUGGCUGGAGAAAAGGGCAGCUGUCGAGCAUAGCCCAAGCAUCUCUUGGACAACUCUUCUGUAAACAAACCUGCCAUUUAACAUUAGGGCACGGGCAUUAAAUAUUCCACGGAGCGCCCUGCCAGGAUGAAUUCCAGAGGUUCAUGCCUCUCCUUGCUCUGUGCUUGCACUAAACUUGGCUUCUGCUUAGCUGACAGCAGUGCUUCUUUCUGGCUUUCAGAAAGAAUGUGCUCCUGUGCAUAUAAAAAAGAAGAUCUUUUUCUCAGUCCCUGUGCAAGCAGCAGGUAUUGCUCGUGAUUUGCAGUUCAUGGGCCUGAACAUGUUUGAUAGCUGCCAAACCUAGAGGAGUUUGGCAAUACCCUAUUUAAGGUACAAAAAGAAAGGUCUCCUGGCAUUGCAGAGCCUGGAAGCAAGGGGAGACGAGCAAGUAGAAAGAGGGAGAAGUUGUUAUCUCUGCCUUGCACUCUGAAGUGCUUGUAGGGAAAAAAUAAUGUUCAACUCUACACAUCAUCAAAGUAAAUCAUAAAACAACACUAGAGCCCAGCGCUGAAAGAGCUCUGUAGUUAGCUUUGCCUUCUGGAGACCAAAAUCUAGGGGAAAAAAGAUAGAAAGACAGUAAUUUCACUAAUAACGUCUAAUAGAAUGGGAGAAGUUAUAUCU
rnacentral:lncRNA from 1 species